rnacentral:rRNA from 2 species
GCGGAGGAAAAGAAAAUAACAAUGAUUUCCCUAGUAACGGCGAGUGAAGAGGAAAGAGCUCAAAGUUGGAACCUGUUUGGCUUAGCUAAACCGGAUUGUAAACUGUAGAAGUGUUUUCCAGACACGCCUGGUAAAAAAGUCCUUUGGAACAGGGCAUCAUAGAGGGUGAGAAUCCCGUCAUUGGCCAGAGCUGUUGUCUUUUGUGAUACAUUUUCAAAGAGUCAGGUUGUUUGGGAAUGCAGCCUAAAUUGGGUGGUAAAUCUCACCUAAAGCUAAAUAUUUGCGAGAGACCGAUAGCGAACAAGUACCGUGAGGGAAAGAUGAAAAGAACUUUGAAAAGAGAGUUAAACAGUAUGUGAAAUUGUUAAAAGGGAACCGUUUGGAGCCAGACUGGCUUAACUGUAAUCAAUCUAGGCUUUGGCCUGGAUGCACUUGCGGUUUAUGCCGGCCAACGACAGUUUUGUUUGAGGGAAAAAAUUACAUUGAAUGUGGCCCUUCGGGGUGUUAUAGCUUUGUAAAAAAUACCUUGGACUGGACUGAGGAACGCAGUGAAUGCCUUUAGGCAAGAUUGCUGGGUGCUUUCGCUAAUAAAUGCUAGAAUUUCUGCUUCGGGUGGUGCUAGUGUUUAAAGGAGGAACUCGCUUAGUAUAUUUUUUAUUCGCUUAGGUUGUUGGCUUAAUGACUCUAAAUGAC